UACGUAGGGUGCGAGCGUUAAUCGGAAUUACUGGGCGUAAAGCGUGCGCAGGCGGUUCGCUGUGUCCGAUGUGAAAGACCCGGGCUUAACCUGGGAAUGGCAUUGGAAACUGGCGGGCUUGAGUGCGGCAGAGGGGGGUGGAAUUCCGCGUGUAGCAGUGAAAUGCGUAGAGAUGCGGGGGAACACCGAUGGCGAAGGCAGCCCCCUGGGUCGACACUGACGCUCAUGCACGAAAGCGUGGGGAGCAAACAGG
rnacentral:rRNA from 1 species